AAUUACAUACUUUAUAUAAAAGAAUUAGCUUGCACCUAAAAAUAGAGUCCUAGACUUUGUAAUUA
rnacentral:tRNA from 1 species